rnacentral:piRNA from 1 species
UAUCGUUGGGUAGACCAUGGU